GACGAACGCUGGCGGCGUGCUUAACACAUGCAAGUCGAACGGAAAGGCCCUGUUCUUGUGGGAUGCUCGAGUGGCGAACGCGUGAGUAACACGUGAGUAACAUGCCCUUGACUUUGGGAUAACUUCUGGAAACUGGGGUUAAUAUACGACAUGAGCUCUUGCUGCAUGGGGGGGGUUGGAAAAUUUUGGCGGUUGAGGAUGGACUGGCGGCCUCUCAUCUUGUUGGUGAGGUAGUGGAUUAGAAAGGCUCUGACGGGUAGCCGGCCUGCGAGGGUGACCGGCCACAUUGGGACUGGGGUGCGGCCCGGACUCCUACGGGAGGCAGCAGUGGGGGAUAUUGCACGAUGGGCGGAAGCAGGAUGCAGCAACGCCGCGUGCUGAAUGACGGCCUUCGGGGUGUAACCCGCUUUCGCCUGGAACGAAGCGUGAGUGACGGUAAUGGGUAAAAAAGCACCGGCUAACUACGUG
rnacentral:rRNA from 1 species